rnacentral:lncRNA from 1 species
CUUUGAAGGGCAGGGCGGGGGGCGAGGCAGGCAGGGAGAGUAAGCACUGGACGCUGAGCCAGGGGACCUGGUUUCCAAUGCGGUCAUGGCCAGUCCUGUCCCCUUGCAGGCCCCCAGUUCCCUCAUCUGCAAACUGAGGAGCUGGACUGGGUAACCUAUGAAUUACUGCUUAUCCUGUUUAUUCAUCACCCCAAAAAGAAUGUGUGAGGGUUCAAUUUCCCCUCAUCCCCACCAAUACUCAUUAUUCUUAGGCUCUUUGACUCUAGCUAUCCAGCCGGUGUGAAGUGGUGUCCCAUCAUGCUUCGGCUUGCAUUUCCCUGACAACUAAUGAUGCUAAGCAUCUUUUCAUGAGCUUAUAGGUCAUUUAUUUAUCUUUGGAGAAACAUCCAUUCAGAUACUUUCCCUAUUUUUAAUAAGACCAUUUUCCUUUUAUU